rnacentral:rRNA from 1 species
UACGUAGGGACCAAGCGUUGUUCGGAUUUACUGGGCGUAAAGGGCGCGUAGGCGGCGAAUCAAGUCAGCUGUGAAAUCUCCGAGCUUAACUCGGAACGGUCAGCUGAUACUGUUUUGCUAGGGUGCAGAAAGGGCAACCGGAAUUCUUGGUGUAGCGGUGAAAUGCGUAGAUAUCAAGAGGAACACCUGAGGCGAAGGCGGGUUGCUAGGCUGACACUGACGCUGAAGCGCGAAAGCUAGGGUAGCAAACGGG